GUUCAAAACGCCGCAAAGAGGGAAAUUGGCCACACUCUCUCUCUCUCUCUCGUAGCUACAGAUUCUGCAGAUUGUUCAGAAUUCUCAUGGAAGUAGCAGCCGAAUCCGCACUUCUCAAUCCAUCAACAUUCUUCCCUCGUUCCAGCCCUUCAUUUCUCCCUGCCUCUCACCCUCAGAUCAGAUUACCCACCAAGAAUUUCCCUUCAAAUUUGCUCCUCGUCUCGAAUUCCCACCAAUUGCAUCGUCCCGUAUGCUCGCAACGACUUGUUCAGUUCCAGAUUCCAACAAAAUCAGGGUUUUGUUUGCAGAUUCCAACAAAGUGAGGUUCCUGGCGUUGAAGAUUCGAUUACGAGUUUGAAAUUAGGGUUUUUUGUAAAUCGGAGAAUUAUUGCGUUGGCUGCUACUGUUAUUGGGGUUUUAGUGUUUGGUUGCCGAAGAGUUUUUGCGGUGGAAGGAGUUGUGGAUUCGGGUUAUGGGGUUAUGGGGUUAUAGGACACAGCAUAUUGUUAUUGAAGAGUUAUUGGCUGAAACUUUCUCAGGUUCUUUGGGUUUCAAAGAGCAAGGUUUGGUUUUGGCUGCUCUUCUGGGUCUCUUUGCAUUUUUUUCUAUGGCUGAAACUUCAUUUACCACUCUUUGGCCUUGGAAGGGACUGCCGACGUAAUUUGCUCAUUGGUUUACGGAAAACCAUUACUAAUAGCUUUGGGACCACUGGAAUUAAAGACAAAGAAUCACUGUUGCCAACUUGGAAGUCAUGGCUGAUGGUGGAAGUCCAGCUUUGUUUGGCAUGAUGGCUGAUGGAUACAAUUACAUAGUUGCCGUGCUUGACUGGUGGGGCUGGGCUGGGCUGUUGCACCACCACCAUAGAAAGACUUAGCUCUGUAUAAGAAUGAAUAAUAGUACAUUGAUUCCUUCUCCAUUAUCAAACUACUAUCCUUUUUACUCUCCUUUUCAUAUCUCUCUAAAUCCUUCCUAUAAGAAAAUAAAAUGAAUUGGCUAAUGUUUCUUUAUCAAUUUCUUCUGGUAUUUCUCUUGUUUUCUCAAAUAGUAGUUACUACUAUGUGUUCUUCAUUAUCAUCAUGGUCUUCUUCUUCUACUUAUGCAUGCCAUACCUGCCUUGAGGACCAGCGAUUGUCACUGCUCCAAUUUAAGAAAACUUUUACCAUAACUGGCAGUGCCUCUUUAGAUUGUGAAUCUGAUUCUCAUCCUAAAAUGGUGUUUUGGAAUGAGAGUACUGAUUGUUGUUCGUGGGAAGGGGUCACGUGUGACUGGUUGCAUGGUCGUGUGAUUGGACUUGACCUCACCUUUACCUCAAGCUUUACUAAAUCUAUCUUCGUUGACAUCUCUCAGUCUUGUUUAUUGUCAUCUGCAUGGGAAAUUCUUAGAAAACAUUUUUCACCUUCCAAACCUACGAAAGCUCAACUUAUGGGCUAAUAUCAAACUCACAGGUAAACUUCCAAACUUCAAUGUGACUAGUUCCCUUCAGUUUCUUGAUCUCUCUUGGACAAGUUUUUCUGGUCAACUGCCUGAUUGAAGCGGCAAUCUUAAAGCCUUGAAUAGUUUGUACCUCUCUCAAUGCAAUUUUUCAAGGUCCAUUCCAGCUUCUCUUUGUAACCUUACACAAAUCACUGAUUUAGACUUCUCAUUUAACAGUUUCAGCGGUCAAAUUCCCUCAUCAAUUUCAAACCUUGCAAAGCUUACUAACUUGAUUCUUUCACUAAACAAUUUGAACGGACAAAUACCGGAUUCCCUUGGCAAUAUGAGCCAACUUACUGACUUGGACAUUUCUGUAAAUUAGCUAACUGGUCCCAUUCCUCCAUAUGCUGUUGGGGUUUCAAUGCUAACUUCUCUCCAAUUGAGUCGUAACUCACUCAUUGGGACAAUACCAUCUUCGCUGUUUGCUCUACCUUCACUGAUUAAUAUAGAUUUGAGUGACAAUAAGCUACAGGGACCAAUUCCAAGAUCAGUUUAUGAACUCCAGAACCUAACAGACUUGGUGCUUUCAUCAAAUAACUUAAGUGGUGUAGUGGAUCUAGAUAAGCUUCUAAAGCUUAAAAAUCUGAUCUCUCUUGAUCUCUCAUAUAAUGGUCUCUCAUUGAGCAUCAACACUAGUGUUAACUCUACCUUGACCAACUUUGACACUAUAGGAUUAGCUUCUUGCAACUUGAGCGAAUUCUCAAACUUUUUCAGAGAGCAAGCUGGAUUGGCUUCUCUAGACCUUUCAAACAACAAAAUUCAUGGUGAAGUUCCCAAAUGGAUAUUUGAUGUGGGGGAAAAUACAUUGGGUAUUUUAGAUCUUUCUCAUAAUUUCCUUACAAGUUUAGAGUCUUCCAUGGCAGCCGCUAGAAUAUAUUGACCUGCAUUCCAACUUACUCAGAGGUCCACUCCCUGUUCCACCUAUCACCGCAAUUCUUCUCUCUCUCUCAAACAAUAAAUUGAUUGGAGAAAUCCCUCCAUUGAUUUGUGGUCUAAGGUCACUUGGUAUUCUUGAUUUGUCUAAUAAUAGUUUGAGUGGCUUGAUUCCAAAAUGUUCGGGAAACUUGAGCAAUCUCUUCGUGCUGAAUUUAGGGAUCAAUGGCUUUUACGGCACCUUUAUUUCAGCAUUUACAAAAGGCAAUUGGCUAAGGAAUCUUAACUUGAAUGGCAACCAAAUUGAAGGACAAGUUCCGCUAUCUUUGCUCAAUUGUAGACACUCGGAAGUUCUAAACCUUGGAAAAAACAAGACAAAUGAUACAUUUCCACACUAGUUGAAAACUCUUCUAGAAUUGCAGGUUCUUGUCUUGAGUUUUAAUAGGUUUCAUUGUCGCAUAGGCACCUCCAAGAGCAAAGGCAAGCAUCGUUUUCCUAAGUUGAGAAUUAUUGACAUAUCUUGCAAUGAGUUCACUAGCCUUUUGCCAGCAAAUUAUAUCAAACAAUUUGGAGCUAUGAUGAAUAUUGAUAAACAUGAAAUAAAAUUGAAAUACAUGGGCAACGGCUAUUAUGAAGAUUCUGUGGUAGUGGUGGUGAUUAAGGGAUCUGAGAUUGAAUUAUCAAGAAUCUUAACAGUCUUGUCAAUCAUUGAUUUUUCAAUAAAUAAAUUCUAAGGAGAGAUUCUGAAAUCUAUUGGGAGGCUUAAUUCAUUUUGGGGUCGUAACUUAUCCCAUAACAACCUUGAAGGCCACAUUCCAACUUCACUUGGAAAUUUAACAAACCUUGAAUCAUUGAACCUAUCUUCAAACGAGCUUGUUGGGGUGAUUUCUCAACAAUUGACGAGUUUGAUGUUUCUUGAGAUACUAAACCUUUAGGACAAUCAACUUGCAAGACCAAUUCCUCAAGGGAACCAGUUUAAUACAUUUGGAAGUGAUUCAUACAGUGGGAACUUGGCCUUACGUGGAUUCCCUUUAUCAAAGAAAUGUAAGGAACUACAGCCACUGCCACCUCCACCAACACUCCAACAAGACGAGAAUUCAGACAAGUCAAGUGGAUUUAGCUGGCAAGUUGUAGUGUUGUGGUAUGGAUGCGGAUUUGUAUUUGGAAUGGUUAUGGGAUAUAUUAUGUUUGUAACUCGAAGACCAGAAUGGCUUAUGAAAAUUGUUGACGGAAAACAUCAUACGAAUGUGAAAAGGUCUAAGAAGGGUGUCCACUGAUGCAGUGAAAGAAGAAAUCAACAAAGACAAAUGGCAUUAUCAGGUAAUUGGAAUUUAUCUUUGCAACAUUACUUUGUUGGAUUAUUUUUUAUGGUUUCUAUCUAUAGGCUAUAUUUUUGUUACUAAUGCUUUUUAUUUCAAAACUAGAUAUUUUUCUUAGUUUCACAAUAAAGAAAUGGAAUCCAGUUGAAGGGGUGCCUCACCAAUUUGCUUCAUUUGAGUGUAUGUGCAUUCAGAUAGCAGCUACACAAGAUCACUUCAAAAGCUUUACCAUUGUUGCUGUAUUAAAUUCUAAAGUUAAGUUGUGUAGUUUUCUUAAAGCCUUGAGUUAAAUAAGAGUUUCAUGUCAUGAUUUUUUUUUCUUUUUUUUUUUCUCGCAUCGUGUAACAACCUUUGGAGAUUUUCACUUUUGUAUGUAGUUGCUUUUAAAUUGGAUUUUAGUCACAAAAAACUAGGCAUUGCCAAGUUUUUAUCUUUGAAAUGCAAUCUUACAAGUUACAACCAUUCCCCUUGUUACAUUCUAAAUCAUUUUGAGUAAUAGAAAUGUUGGCUACUAGAUAGAGAAUUCGCAUAGAAAAUAAUGUUAUAUGUUAGUCUUUGAGCAGUGCUUUUACUCGUCGCUAUUGUAGUCCAGGUCCAGCAGAGCUUUUGUUCUCUUUCACACCUUUCUAUCAACAGACAUAAUUGAUGAUAAUUAUUAUUAUUAUUAUUUUUCAUCUUCAUUGGCGAGUGGAGAAUCAAACUAGAGAUAUGUACUAGCACUUGUUCUAUAGACGUGGGAAUUUUGUUAUUAAUUGUAGUAUGAAAAUGGUAUUAAUUGAAAAGGUCGCUUAUAGGCAAGAAUGUUGUUGGGAUUGUGAAGUUUGAUUAAUUAGUACUAUACAUUUCAUUAUAUGAUCAUGGAUCCAACUGAUGUGACCAUGUGAUUUUAAUGCGUUGUUGUUUUUUUUUUUUUUUUUCUAGUUUAUAGCUAAAAAUAAUGGUUUGGUGUGCUGAAAUUGUUAUUGUGUUCUAAGAAGUUAAAUUUUUUUUUUUAAUUUUAGAAAGUUUUAAUUCUGUCUUUUUAUAUUGUUGAUGUUUCUCUGCCAAUUCUCUCAAAUACUAUGGAGUAUUGAUGAGUCUAGAUCCUCUGCCAUGGUUUCUUGCCAUGGUCCCUGCCAUGAUGCCAAAACAACAUCGUUUUGGCGUUAAAUUCAAAAAAAAAAAUUUCCCCUGUUUUCCCUUUCUCCCUCAAUUGUUGAUACAGCCCUAAACCUUAAGAGAGAGGCGAACUUGAACGGCUCCUUUGACGCAGAGGAGGGUAGGUGACGACAGCUGCGCUAGGCGAGGUGAGGCGACAGUUAGGUCUCUCCUCUUCCAUCUUCAUUCUCAUGUGGUGCUUAAAUAUAUAUGUAUAUAUAUAUAUGAUUUAUAUGUAUAUAUAUAUGAUUUCUUGAUCUGAAUUUCUUGUUGAUUUCGUAAACGGGUUUGAUUUCUAGGGGUUUUUUCCCCUCUUUUCCCCUUUACGAUUUCUCCUUCCAAAAAACAGGAAUCCAAAAAUCAAAUUAUAUGUAUGAUUUUUCAUCUGAGCAUAUCAAUUUUUUAUUCUCCAAAUCACUCUGUAUCUAUAAAAAAAAAUUUGAGAUUUCUCCCAUUACAUUGUUUGAACAAGAGGGACCUACAUGGGAUUUGUUAAAGCAAAUAUAAUAUGGUUUUUCCUAUAAUAUUUUUCAUAUAUGAUUUGUAAUUUUCUGAGUUCCUAGUUUCACUGUGACUGUACUUCUGUUUUUGCUCAUACAAUGACCAAGGUAAUCUGUGAUUAUUAAUUUGUAGAUUUUGUGAUUGAACGACAACAAUUGGUUGUGGUUGGGCAUGAUGUCUCAAGUUAGGACCUGUUGAAAAGAUUUGCUAAACUUUGAAGUAAUUUGAUAUCUUACUUUGAUGACUUGGAAGGACAUAAUUUUUUUGUGAAGAUGAUAAUACAGUAAUGGAACAAUAUUGUUAAUGAGUUGGACACUUAUUGUUGGAAGCCGAAACUGGGGAUGUUGCUCCCACAUUCUUCUAGGAGUUGAUUUAAGAUUCAAGUGUUUGUCACUUUGCAAUUCAAGACUCACAUCGCAAGCCUAAAACAAUCCUGCUGGCAGUCACGUAGAUGGUCCUUCAAAUGACGCAUUGAGGCGAUGAAAGAUACAAUGUUUUGGUUUAGUUAGAUGUUAUUUUAGUUGGAUGUUGUUUUGGUGAUUUUAGCCUUAUGUUCAAAUUAAAAGCCUUGAUAUGAACAAAAUUGAUUGAAUGUUAAUUGAUUUCAGCCUUAUUAUGUUAAUUGGCAAAAUGUUUUGGUUUAA